UAAAGGGAGGCAAUCUGCAGAUUGUACUUGCUAGUGACACAUGUCGCAGAUAUCAUGUAGAUUACUUAAACCUCUUCACACUCAGUACCUUCCUGUAAAAACACGUUAGUAGGUGAGAAGCACUGACGUAAUGGUCAGGGAUUAGUUCUCUGCACCCAUGAGGUACAGCAUAAAUCACAUUUUCCAAUACUUCUAAUUGCAUCUGGAAUAAAAAUUCUGCAGGCCUACGUGCAAAAGAAUCUCUCUCUCACACACACACACACACACACAUACACACAGAGCCUCAUUUCCUUUGGUUUUCUGCACAGGCCUGAAAGCGUGGGUUCUAGAGAGAUGUGGUCAAACGGACCACCGUAUUAUAAGUUUGUCACAUAAUGGAAGCAGUUGGUAGAUUAUUUUUGCACCAGGUGUUAGUGGAAAAUAGCUUUGUGGGUGACUUUUUUUCCUUUCUCAGUGGAAGAGAAGAGCAGUCUUGUCCUUUGUCUGACAGUUAACAGUGACAACACUUGCUUUUGUGUCACGCAUCUAUCCUAAGCGAGACUAUGUGCGAUUCGGGAUGUCUUUGUUCAGAAGUACAGGAGCACUGUUGGCUUUGGUGACUUUCUUGCUGCACACCCCACCAUCAGUAAGCAUAGGGAGUCUCAGUGUCUCUUAUGCACGGGCAGUGUUCAACAGGACACAGGGAGAUAAACUGCAGCUCCACUGCAACGUUACAUAUAAAGUGAUGGAAUGUAGACUGCAAAGUGCAUUUUGGUGCAAAUAUUCCUCAGACAACUGUGCAGAACUAACGGACAUAAACAGAUAUGUCACCCAGGUAUCAGAGCUAAACAAAAGCACUGGAAACAUAUUGACUAGACUGAUUCACUUUGAAUUUAAAAACCUUACUCUGGAUGACGCAGGAGAGUAUAAGUGUAAUGCAAAUUGUGACAGUGGAGAAACGGGAAUGGGUCACUUCAUCAGGCUCUUCAUUCGAGAGGCUGAGAGCACAAGAGAGCAACAGAGAAACAGAAGCAGAUGGCUCAAGAUGGAUACCGUUUUUGUCGCAAUAUGCUGCUUAAUUCCGCUGCUGAACUUCUAUUAGUGUCUCUAACUAGAGGUUUACUCAGGAAACCGGCAAGACCAAGGAGCCGUGAGGAUGGGAUAAGAGUUGCAUGAAGUUACUAUGUUCAAUAACGGAUUUUUUUGGGAAAAAAGGCAUUGAGACAUUUUAAUAACUCUUGUUUCUCAUUUAAUGUCACACUUGAUUUGGGAUGUUUAUUUUCUACCAAAAGGGUCUGGCAGAAAUUUGGAAACUAGGGAAAAUAUGUAGCUGUGACUAAAGCUUUUUAAAAGGUA